AUGUCAGUUUCGUUAUUACAACCUUAUUUUUUUAUGUCAAAGAAAAAAAGCUACGCGCAAAUUCUCAUUGGAUCUUGGUUGUUCUUAACAGCGAUGGCUAUUCAUUUAAGUCUUCGGGUAGCACCACCAGAUCUUCAACAAGGUGGAAAUUCUCGUAUUUCGUAUGUACAUGUUCCUGCGGCUCAGAUGAGUAUAGUUAUUUAUAUCGCGACAGCUAUAAACAGUUCCUUGUUCCCAUUAACAAAACAUCCCCUUUUUCUUCGCUCUUCCGGAACCGGUACAGAAAUUGGUGCUUUUUCUACUUUGUUUACGUUAGUGACUGGGGGGUUUCGGGGAAGGCCUAUGUGGGGUACCUUUCGGGUGUGGGAUGCUCGUUUAACUUCUGUAUUCAUCUUGUUCCUUAUUUACCUGGGUGCACUGUGUUUUCAAAAGCUUCCUGUCGAACCGGCUCCUAUUUCAAUCCGUGCUGGACUGAUCGAUAUACCAAUAAUAAAGUCUCCAGUCAACUGGUGGAAUACAUCGCAUCAACCUGGGAGCAUUAGCCGAUCUGGUACAUCAAUACAUGUUCCUAUGCCCAUUCCAAUCUUGUCUAACUUUGCUAACUUCCCCUUCUCUACCCGUAUCUUGUUCGUUCUGGAAACACGUCUUCCUAUUCCAUCUUUUCCCGAAUCUCCCUUAACGGAAGAAAUAGAAGCUCGAGAAGGAAUACCACUAAAAACCUAG
rnacentral:rRNA from 1 species